rnacentral:rRNA from 1 species
ACGCACGCUGGCGGCGUGCUUAACCCCUGCCAGUCGAACGGUGAAGCGAGUGCUUGCACUCGUGGAUCAGUGGCGAACGGGUGAGUAACACGUGAGUAACCUGCCCAUCACUCUGGGAUAAGCACUGGAAACGGUGUCUAAUACUGGAUACGACCAACCCUUGCAUGGGGUGUUGGUGGAAAGAUUUAUCGGUGAUGGAUGGACUCGCGGCCUAUCAGCUUGUUGGCGGGGUAAUGGCCCACCAAGGCGACGACGGGUAGCCGGCCUGAGAGGGUGACCGGCCACACUGGGACUGAGACACGGCCCAGACUCCUACGGGAGGCAGCAGUGGGGAAUAUUGCACAAUGGGCGAAAGCCUGAUGCAGCGACGCCGCGUGAGGGAUGACGGCCUUCGGGUUGUAAACCUCUUUCAGCAGGGAAGAAGCGAAAGUGACGGUACCUGCAGAAGAAGCACCGGCUAACUACGUG